AUACGGGGGGUGCAAGCGUUAAUCGGAAUUACUGGGCGUAAAGCGCGCGUAGGCGGUUAAAUAAGUUGGAUGUGAAAUCCCCGGGCUCAACCUGGGAACUGCAUUCAAAACUGUUUAACUAGAGUAUGGUAGAGGGAAGUGGAAUUCCAGGUGUAGCGGUGAAAUGCGUAGAUAUCUGGAGGAACAUCAGUGGCGAAGGCGACUUCCUGGGCCAAUACUGACGCUGAGGUGCGAAAGCGUGGGGAGCAAACAGGAUUAGAAACCCCAGUAGUCC
rnacentral:rRNA from 1 species